UCCGUAGGUGAACCUGCGGAAGGAUCAUUAUUGAUUUGGGUUUUGCACACACCAGUGCUUCUCCCUUGCUGUACCUUGCUGUACACCGCAAAAAAAUACUCUUGUGAACUCGUACUACCCAAUUUUUACAAAUAAUAGAAGCCUUAUGUUAUUUUUGUGUCCCCUCGCAGGGCUCAAUCAUUUAUUAAUUAUACAUAACUUUUAACAACGGAUCUCUUGGCUCUCGCAUCGAUGAAGAACGCAGCGAAAUGCGAUAAGUAGUGUGAAUUGCAGAAUUCAGUGAAUCAUCGAAUCUUUGAACGCACAUUGCGCUCUCUCGGAUUUAUCCAGGGAGCAUGCCUGUUUGACAACAUGCACAAAUGGUACAUAGCAGUAGCCUUUGAUGGUGUUGAUAGCUAAACCAACAACUGGGAGUUUUUCUUUGAGUGUUCAUUCAAAGUCUCUUGAAAUCAGUCAUGUGGGUCUACUUAUGAUCAAGCCCUGAUGUAAUAGAAUAUGUUUCAUCGGAGUGUCAUGAGCGGAACCUUUUUGUAGAAAUACAAUCUUGGCAAGGUUGGUUGGUCAAAUCCAGGGGGUAGGGGAUUACCCGGCUGGAACUUAAGGCAUAUCAAUAAGGCGGGGAGGGG
rnacentral:rRNA from 1 species